GGCUUUUUGCUUUUAUAAUAUAAAAAGUCGGGCCUGCCCGGUGAAAUAAUUAAACGGCUGUAACGAGAGUUAUGCUAAGGUAGCGCGAUAAUUUGUCUCUUAAUUGGAGAAUGGUAUGAAAGGUUUGUCAUAGAGCGGUUGUCUCUAAAAAAUUAAGUGAAAUUUCUUUUUAAAUGAAAAGGUUUAAAUAAAAAUAAAAGACGAGAAGACCCUGUCGAGCUAGAUUAAGAAGAAAGCUAGUCUUGGCUAGCUUGUUUUGUAAGAGUAGUUGGGGAAGGUUGGACUUCAAAUAAUAAGUUCAUAUUAAACAUAGAUCCUUUUUGAAAGAAAGUUGGCAAAAGCUACCGGAGGGAUAACAGCGUGAUUUUUCUUAAGAGAUCGUAUUGAGGGAAAAGUUUGCGACCUCGAUGUUGGAUUAGGAAAACUUCUUGGUGCAGCAGCUAAGAGUUGUAAGACUGUUCGUCUUUUAAAUUCCU
rnacentral:rRNA from 1 species